UACAGAGGUGGCAAGCGUUGUUCGGAAUUACUGGGCGUAAAGGGCGCGUAGGCGGUUCGUUAAGUCCUGUGUGAAAUCCCCCGGCUCAACUGGGGAACUGCACAGGAAACUAGCGGGCUUGAGUUCGGGAGAGGGAAGCGGAAUUCCGGGUGUAGCGGUGAAAUGCGUAGAUAUCAAGAGGAACACCUGCGGCGAAGGCGGGUUGCUGGGCCGACACUGACGCUGAGGCGCGAAAGCUAGGGGAGCGAACGGG
rnacentral:rRNA from 1 species